rnacentral:rRNA from 1 species
UACAGAGGGGGCAAGCGUUGUUCGGAAUUACUGGGCGUAAAGGGCGCGUAGGUGGCCUUCUAAGUUGAACGUGAAAUCCCUGGGCUCAACCCAGGAACUGCGUCCAAGACUGGGAGGCUUGAAUCCGGGAGAGGGAUGCGGAAUUCCAGGUGUAGCGGUGAAAUUCGUAGAUAUUCGGAAGAACACCAGUGGCGAAGGCGGCUCACUGGUCCGGUACUGACGCUGAGGUGCGAAAGCGUGGGGAGCAAACAGG